rnacentral:rRNA from 1 species
AUAUCAAUAAGCGGAGGAAAAGAAACCAACAGGGAUUGCCCCAGUAACGGCGAGUGAAGCGGCAAGAGCUCAAAUUUGAAAGCUGGCUCCUUCGGGGUCCGCAUUGUAAUUUGCAGAGGAUGCUUCGGGAGCGGUCCCCAUCUAAGUGCCCUGGAACGGGACGUCAUAGAGGGUGAGAAUCCCGUAUGGGAUGGGGUGUCCGCGCCCGUGUGAAGCUCCUUCGACGAGUCGAGUUGUUUGGGAAUGCAGCUCUAAAUGGGUGGUAAAUUUCAUCUAAAGCUAAAUAUUGGCCGGAGACCGAUAGCGCACAAGUAGAGUGAUCGAAAGAUGAAAAGCACUUUGAAAAGAGAGUUAAAAAGCACGUGAAAUUGUUGGAAGGGAAGCGCUUGCGACCAGACUCGCUCGCGGGGUUCAGCCGGCAUUCGUGCCGGUGUACUUCCCCGCGGGCGGGCCAGCGUCGGUUUGGGUGGUCGGUCAAAGGCCCUCGGAAGGUAACGCCCCCUCGGGGGCGUCUUAUAGCCGAGGGUGCAAUGCGACCUGCCUGGACCGAGGAACGCGCUUCGGCUCGGACGCUGGCAUAAUGGUCGUAAGCGA